rnacentral:rRNA from 1 species
GGUUAAGCGACUAAGCGUACACGGUGGAUGCCCUGGCAGUCAGAGGCGAUGAAGGGCGUGCUAAUCUGCGAUAAGCGCCGGUAAGGUGAUAUGAACCGUUAUAACCGGCGAUACCCGAAUGGGGAAACCCAGUGUGAUUCGUCACACUAUCAUUAACUGAAUCCAUAGGUUAAUGAGGCGAACCGGGGGAACUGAAACAUCUAAGUACCCCGAGGAAAAGAAAUCAACCGAGAUUCCCCCAGUAGCGGCGAGCGAACGGGGAGGAGCCCAGAGCCUGAAUCAGCAUGUGUGUUAGUGGAAGCGUCUGGAAAGGCGCGCGAUACAGGGUGACAGCCCCGUACACAAAAGCGCAUGUGCUGUGAGCUCGAUGAGUAGGGCGGGACACGUGGUAUCCUGUCUGAAUAUGGGGGGACCAUCCUCCAAGGCUAAAUACUCCUGACUGACCGAUAGUGAACCAGUACCGUGAGGGAAAGGCGAAAAGAACCCCGGCGAGGGGAGUGAAAAAGAACCUGAAACCGUGUACGUACAAGCAGUGGGAGCCCCACCACUAAGCCAGUGGUGAACUCCACAUACGCAUCCUUUGCUGAGGAUACGGUUAACGGAGCGAAAGCGACGUUCAACCUCAAAAGAAGCAGAGGGGGCUUAGUGGUGGGGUGACUGCGUACCUUUUGUAUAAUGGGUCAGCGACUUAUAUUCUGUAGCAAGGUUAACCGAAUAGGGGAGCCGGAGGGAAACCGAGUCUUAACCGGGCGUUAAGUUGCAGGGUAUAGACCCGAAACCCGGUGAUCUAGCCAUGGGCAGGUUGAAGGUUGGGUAACACUAACUGGAGGACCGAACCGACUAAUGUUGAAAAAUUAGCGGAUGACCUGUGGCUGGGGGUGAAAGGCCAAUCAAACCGGGAGAUAGCUGGUUCUCCCCGAAAGCUAUUUAGGUAGCGCCUCGUGAAUUCAUCUCCGGGGGUAGAGCACUGUUUCGGCUAGGGGGCCAUCCCGGCUUACCAACCCGAUGCAAACUGCGAAUACCGGAGAAUGUUAUCACGGGAGACACACGGCGGGUGCUAACGUCCGUCGUGAAGAGGGAAACAACCCAGACCGCCAGCUAAGGUCCCAAAGUCAUGGUUAAGUGGGAAACGAUGUGGGAAGGCCCAGACAGCCAGGAUGUUGGCUUAGAAGCAGCCAUCAUUUAAAGAAAGCGUAAUAGCUCACUGGUCGAGUCGGCCUGCGCGGAAGAUGUAACGGGGCUAAACCAUGCACCGAAGCUGCGGCAGCGAACGUAUCACUUAAAGCGAUUCAGCGGGUUACGAUUGACGGAGCGAAGCGACGUCAAAGCGUAUACAAAGUCGAGUCGGUUUAAGGAUACGUUCGUUGGGUAGGGGAGCGUUCUGUAAGCCUGUGAAGGUGUGUCGUGAGGCAUGCUGGAGGUAUCAGAAGUGCGAAUGCUGACAUAAGUAACGAUAAAGCGGGUGAAAAGCCCGCUCGCCGGAAGACCAAGGGUUCCUGUCCAACGUUAAUCGGGGCAGGGUGAGUCGACCCCUAAGGCGAGGCCGAAAGGCGUAGUCGAUGGGAAACGGGUUAAUAUUCCCGUACUUGGUGUUACUGCGAAGGGGGGACGGAGAAGGCUAUGUUGGCCGGGCGACGGUUGUCCCGGUUUAAGCGUGUAGGUGUGUGUUCCAGGUAAAUCCGGUUCACUUUAACACUGAGGCGUGAUGACGAGGCACUACGGUGCUGAAGCAACAAAUGCCCUGCUUCCAGGAAAAGCCUCUAAGCAUCAGGUAACAUCAAAUCGUACCCCAAACCGACACAGGUGGUCAGGUAGAGAAUACCAAGGCGCUUGAGAGAACUCGGGUGAAGGAACUAGGCAAAAUGGUGCCGUAACUUCGGGAGAAGGCACGCUGACACGUAGGUGAAGUGAUUUACUCAUGGAGCUGAAGUCAGUCGAAGAUACCAGCUGGCUGCAACUGUUUAUUAAAAACACAGCACUGUGCAAACACGAAAGUGGACGUAUACGGUGUGACGCCUGCCCGGUGCCGGAAGGUUAAUUGAUGGGGUCAGCGCAAGCGAAGCUCCUGAUCGAAGCCCCGGUAAACGGCGGCCGUAACUAUAACGGUCCUAAGGUAGCGAAAUUCCUUGUCGGGUAAGUUCCGACCUGCACGAAUGGCGUAAUGAUGGCCAGGCUGUCUCCACCCGAGACUCAGUGAAAUUGAACUCGCUGUGAAGAUGCAGUGUACCCGCGGCAAGACGGAAAGACCCCGUGAACCUUUACUAUAGCUUGACACUGAACAUUGAGCCUUGAUGUGUAGGAUAGGUGGGAGGCUUUGAAGUGUGGACGCCAGUCUGCAUGGAGCCGACCUUGAAAUACCACCCUUUAAUGUUUGAUGUUCUAACGUGGACCCGUUACCCGGGUUGCGGACAGUGUCUGGUGGGUAGUUUGACUGGGGCGGUCUCCUCCUAAAGAGUAACGGAGGAGCACGAAGGUUGGCUAAUCCUGGUCGGACAUCAGGAGGUUAGUGCAAUGGCAUAAGCCAGCUUGACUGCGAGCGUGACGGCGCGAGCAGGUGCGAAAGCAGGUCAUAGUGAUCCGGUGGUUCUGAAUGGAAGGGCCAUCGCUCAACGGAUAAAAGGUACUCCGGGGAUAACAGGCUGAUACCGCCCAAGAGUUCAUAUCGACGGCGGUGUUUGGCACCUCGAUGUCGGCUCAUCACAUCCUGGGGCUGAAGUAGGUCCCAAGGGUAUGGCUGUUCGCCAUUUAAAGUGGUACGCGAGCUGGGUUUAGAACGUCGUGAGACAGUUCGGUCCCUAUCUGCCGUGGGCGCUGGAGAACUGAGGGGGGCUGCUCCUAGUACGAGAGGACCGGAGUGGACGCAUCACUGGUGUUCGGGUUGUCAUGCCAAUGGCACUGCCCGGUAGCUAAAUGCGGAAGAGAUAAGUGCUGAAAGCAUCUAAGCACGAAACUUGCCCCGAGAUGAGUUCUCCCUGAGACUUUAGGUCUCCUGAAGGAACGUUGAAGACGACGACGUUGAUAGGCCGGGUGUGUAAGCGCAGCGAUGCGUUGAGCUAACCGGUACUAAUGAACCGUGAGGCUUAACCUU